AAAACUCUGAAUUUCGUUGGUCCAAGCCUUGAACAUCAGAUUCCCAAAAAAAACCACAGAUUUUCUUUUCCAGUUUGCGAGUAAUUUUUGUUGAGAGUAUGGCGAUGGAAAACAUGAACGGGCAGAUUGUUAACGCAGCGAUCGGAGAGCCAAAGAAAAUGAAAAGUUGCCACCAAUGUCGUAAACUGAGAUCGGAUGCUGUUGGAAAUUGCGUGACCAAGAAGGGAGCCAAGACAUGUGUGUUGAAGUAUUGUCGUAGGUGCCUGUUGACCAGGUACGGAGAGAUCGGAGAGGAGGUGGCGGUGAAUGAUAAUUGGGUUUGUCCCAAAUGUAGGGAAAUUUGCAAUUGUAGUUCGUGCAGGAAUAAUAAAGGUGAGAAGCCUACUGGGAAGUUGACAACCACAGCUAAGAAAAAUGGUUGCUCCAAUGUCUCUGAGUUCCUUAAAAAAGAGGGUUCUGACAAAUACUUUUACAGGAGGAAGGGGAAGUGUGCUGAAGAGAUAAAUGAUUCAAGUGCUGGCUGCAGCGAGGAGAAUGCUGCGGCAAGAACCAAACCCGUUCUCAAGGAGAAAGAGGAGUUUCAGCUUGAGGAGGUUAAGCUACCACAGGGCAUCGGAUCAAUCACUGUUUCAAGUGUUGAUUUGCACCCUGAAAAUGCUGGAAGUGUGCUUCAGUUUUUAGAGUUCUGUCUGACUUUUAGAGAGGCUCUGGGUUUGAGGGACGGGCAAGCUGAUUUGGUUGUACGUGAGGUUCUAUCAGGGAGCCAAGAGCAUUCGAUGCUUACCCAGACGAUAAUCCAGUUAUUGACUCUUACACUAGUUGACAGAGGAGACAUAUCGGUUGGCUUGAGUGCAACUGAUGACAGGUGGUUCACUAUUCUUGGAAAGUGUCUUGCGGAAUCAGAAGUUAAGCUUGAUGAAUUCCCUCCUGAGAUGUUUCAGAAAGGCAUUUCUGAAUAUGAGGAGAUGGAUUCAUUACAAAAGCUUAAGCUUUUGAAUUUUGUAUGCGAUGAAGCGCUUGGCAUAUCGGUGAUGAGGAAUUUCAUUGAAAACCCUGAAUAUGUUGAAAAGAAAAAGAAAGCAGAAGAAAAGUUGAAUGCAGCAGAAGCUAGGGAGAAACAACUGUAUAAGAAGAUAAAAGAUGACUUUGCCAAAGCUGAAGCAAAUAAUAAUGGGGUUGCAUUAACAAUCGAACAACGGGUUGCAAUUUUAUCGCAAAUGUCUGCCGAAUCUGAAGAAGUUCAUUUUGAAAAGAAAAAGGCAUUAGAAAUGCAAUCUAAAAGUCAAGAAUAUAAUGAUGCUCUUAGAACCAACCCGGUUGAACUGGAUGACAAUGGUCUUAUUCUCUGGAAUUUGAAGUCGUACAAUGAAGAACCAACCAUUUUGCUUCAAGGUGUGAAAGAUAGAUUGGAAUUCUCCAUUUGUUGUGGCAAAGAGUAUGUUACUGACUUUAAUCUCUUUUGUAUCUGGGUGCAGAUUUGGGAAGCUGUAGUGACAUAUGUCCUCAUGAAAAAUGGUAUUCUUUUAGCUCCGAGCAGAAACCACAGGUUGAGAAGUACAUCACUUUCAAAAGGAAGAAAUGUCGUCUAGAAAAGAAAAUGGAGAAGAAGGAGAAGAAGAGAAAGACUAUUCUUCAGUAGUAUUGAUGAUUUUUUUCCGUUUGCCUGCGAGCACAUAAUACAAAAAUGGGUUUGCUAAGCAGAGGUGAAAAAGUUGAUUCCUGCACUCUUCUGACAUGCAAUUUUAAAUUGCAUUUGAAUAUGAUUGGUUGUUUUAAUUACAUUUCUAAACAAUCUAAAAACUCUUUAUACAUUUUUAUGCUAAAAACCUUUCCAACAUAAUUAUGAACGAAUAAUAUAUUUAUUUUUGAUUAUGAGUAUGAUUGGUUACAUUAUAAAUUUAAAAUGCAGGAGUCUUGUAAUUUUUGUAUUGUCACUAAUCAUACAUAUAAUUUGGUGCAAGUUUUUUCAUAUAAAUUAAUUUUCCAACAUAAUUUUCAUAUAGAUUUUUUUGGUGUAAGUUUUUUCAUAUCGUUUUACAGCAAUGAACAGUGAAAAUAAAGAGUGCAUUAUAAAAGAUGGUAUAAAUUUUCCAUGUUAAAUGGGAUUGUACAAAAAAAGACAUUAUACUCACCUUUGAGAAGGAAAUUCCAAGUUUUUUCUUCUAUUGGAUGAUUACAUUCACAUGCUACUUUUUUUUUGACAAAUUAUAUCUUCGCUGGAGAAAUUGACAUGUUACUAAGUUACUUUGUGAUAAGCAUUCUAAUUAUGGUAAACAAUCAUACACAUUUAUAUUCAUAGAUACAAAAGUUAAAAGAAAGCUAUAUAUAUAUAUAAUAUCUUAUGAUUAGGAUUAUCAUUCUCACCAAAUACAAACAUGUAAUAAGUUUUAUAUUUACAAACUAUCUACAAUAUCUAAUGUAUAUAAAUAUAUUUAUACCACAGUAAAUUCGAUUACUACUUUUAUAAAAUUAAAAUUGGUAAUAAUGCUUAAUUUUAAAUAAAUAUCAACUAAGUGUUUGCCCGCAAUUUUGCGGGUAAUUAUAUUACAUGAAGAAGCAUAUAUUAGGUUUACAUUGUUAUAAUUUUUGAAUAAUAAUUAAAAUUAAAAUUUAAUUUCAAAUAGUUGGAUAAUCAAAAUUCUCAGUAUAUAUUUUUAGAAGAUCUGUGAAAUUUGAAAUAGUUCAACAACAUUAACUUUAGUCAUUACAAAUAUUUCUUUUACAGAAAAGUAAUUUUAAAAUUAAUUCAAAUAAUUAGUUGUAUAAUUACUUUAUAUUUUAUUUUAACACGUGAAAAAAUGGGAAUACUCUAGCUUUCAAAAAAUAAAAAAGAGAAAUUUGUGUGUAGUACUAAUACAAUGAUCGGAUGCUUUGAUCAUGUAAACCUAAUAUAUAUUUUUUUCAUAUCAAUGUAUCAAUCUAUAUAUAUAUAUAUAUAUAUAUAUAUAACAAUAAAGUAGAGUAUUCUCCUUUCUCAUGCGUCCACGUCAGCGGAGAGAGAAGGGUAAAUUGUGCUACAUGUUGCAUCACUAUAGCCUCAGCUAUUUUUUUCUCGACAGUUCUCUAAUUUAACGUAUGAGAACUGAGCUUUUAUUACAAUGGAUAUAUUAGACCCAAACCUAGAGCCCGGUUAGAGACCCAUUCGGUAUUCGGGUUCGUCAUCAUCUUCCUCUUUCACAUGCGACCUCCCCGAUGAAAUUCACAGACUUUAAGCGCCAAUCUGAACUCUGUAACGUCUCACCAAUUCAUAAACCAUUUUUUUACUCCGAGUUUUUUGUAAUUAAUCCAUUCCGCUUACUUGAAGCAAUCAAUAUACCUCUUCGUUUUCCACAGUAACUGGAUAAAUACUCGACAAAAAUCGCAACCUAAAAAUUCGAAAACCCGAUCUUGAACAAGCUCUAUGCUCACUUGAGUGUACUCUUGGCUUUGGCAGCAGCAUAAACCUCGGCAGCGAAGAGCUCAAAAUUCAGUUCACAGUCUCAUCAAAUCAAUGAGUGUCAACAGUUUAAAACCAAAACCACAAAAAAUCUCAUCCCACGCUCGUCAAUAAAAAAUAAAACUAUGAAACAAAGAAAAAUCAAUGGGAAUCGAACCUUCGGCGUCUCCCAAGUCUCUGAAUCCGAUCGAAAAUUUAGAGAAACGAGACAAAAACAGAGAUGAAGAACAAUGGAGAAGCGACAGUGAACGAAUAGGAGAAGUGUGGUGUUUAAACGAAUUAAAUAACAUAAUCUGAUCGGAAGAAACCACCGGAUAUUCUCGGCUCGAGCUUACAAUCGAGUGUGAUGACUGUCAAUGGUGAGAUUCACGGCGAUUACACUGCUGUCUCCAGCAUUGUCAUCGUCGAUUUUGAAUAUAAUAUCCCCGUCGUCGAGAGAAACUAAUGAGUUUUUUUUUAUAUAUAUUAAUAUGUUUGAGAGUAUUGUUGUCUUUUGAUCCAUUAAUAAAUGUUAUAUUUCUGAUAUUCAGCUAGAGAAGCUAGUUUUGGGAUGAAUUUUUAAAAUGGCUAUUAAAGAGAAUUGCCCGAAAAGAUAUAAAUAAAAUAAUUUAUAUUUGAGAUGGAAUUAAUAUUUGAAUUACUUGUAAAAAACAACUAAAUUGAUUCAUUAUUUAUAUAUUUUUAAUGUUUAUAAUGAAAAUUUAUCCAAAUAUGGUAAAAUUAUAAGUAAGUAUUCAUUCUUACAUUAGAAUGUAAAACAGUUUUUUUUUUAUGAAUAAAAUUUAACAUUUAUUCAAAAAAAAAACAAUGAAGAUUUGAAAAUAAAAAUAUUAACUUUUCAAUAUAUGCUUGCAAAUAUCAAAAUAUAAGAAUACAUUUUCAUACGAUGUAUAGUUUAAUUUAAAAGAUAUGAAAAAAAAUUAAAAUAAAUUAAACCUUGAUCAUAAAAGCUUAUAUGAGACUUUUAACAAUUUUAGUAAUUUAUAUUCGUUUUGAAAAAUUCAAAAUACAACAUAUACAAAAACAAAUCUAGAAUUUUAUUAUACUAUUAAUGUAAUUAUGUAAUUUAUUUUAAUAAUAAAUAAAUAAUCAAAAAUGAUAAAAAAAAUAUACAGAUUGUAAUCAAAUCUUUAUUGUUUAAAAUUAUUAAUUGCUAUAUAUAUAUAUAUAUUUUAAUCACAUUAGGUAAUUUCUUAUGUUUUAUUUAAGGAAAGCCUGCGAAACAAUAAAGAUUUGAUAUAUGCGACCAACUAUAGCCUGCAAAAUAUUAUUUUGCUAGAGAGUAUAAUUUAUAGACUAUAGUUUAUAUAAGGUGUUCUAGAAUUCUUUGAAAUAGGAUAUAGAAGGCAUACACAAGUGCCACAUAGGAUGAAGGUUUUUUUUUUAAUUUUUACAAAAUUUAGGUUAUAACUUUUUACAAGAUCCUCAGUUAAUAUAUAGAGGAUUUUUGAUUAUGAGUGUGAUUGGUCACAUUAUAAAUUUAAAAUGCUGGGAAUAGUGUAAUUUUUGUAUUUUCACUAAUCAUACAUAUAGAUUUUUUGGUGCAAGUUUACAGCAAUGAACAGUGCAAAUAAAGAGUUCAUUAUAAAAAUGGUAUAAAUUUUGCAUGUUAAAUGGGGUUGUACCAAAAAAGACAUUAUACUCGCCUUCCUGAAGGAAAUUCCAAGUUUUUUUCUUCAUUUGGAUGAUUACGUUGACGUGUUACUUUUUUUUGACAAAUUAUAUGUUCGCUGGGAAAAUUGACAUGUUACUUUGUGAUAAGCAUUCUAAUUAUGGUAAAAAAAUCAUACAUAUUUAUAUUCAUAGAUACAAAAGUUAAAAGAAAGCUAUAUAUAUAUAUAUAUAUAUAUAUAUAUAUAUAUAUAAUUUCUUAUGAUUAGGAUUAUCUUUCUCACCAAAUACAAACAUGUAAUAAGUUUUAUAUUUACGAAGUAUCUACAGUGUCUAAUGUAUAUAAAUAUUUUUAUACCACAAUAAGUUCAAUUAUUACAUUUAUAAAACUAAAAUUGGUAAUUAUGCUUGAUUUCAAAUAAAUAUCGAUGUAUAUAUAAUAUUAUUAACAAUGACGCGUUGCCAUGAAAUCUAUAAGUUUGUUUCACCAUGAAAUCGUAUUCAUAUGCAAUAAUUAGUUAAUGUACUUUAAAAAAUUCUAGUUUGUUUUGCUGAAUUCGCGAUUCCAACAUCAUACGUACAACUAACCUAUAUCUUCUCAUAAUUGUCAAUAACCAACACCCAACCCACCUAUAUAUAGGCUAUCUAAACUAUACUAAAAAGACAAAUAUUAAACCUUCUAAGAUGGUCCACGUCGGACUAGAAAUUCAUCAGUAAGAAAGCAGCGUUCGGCCAUGUCAGCAACGAGUUGGUUCAAAUUGGGCCAUGGGGUUUUUUCAAAUUUCUAUCUGGCCCAACUCAGCCUAUGCCUAGAAACUGUAUCGUCUCCAAACGUCUCUCCCCGACUCUUCCACUUCAUCUUCUCCAAUGUCUGAUUUUUUUUUCUUAGUUAACUUUCUCAAUCAAUAAUGAUCUUAAAGCUAUUCUUGAAUGUUUUGUUUCACCUCUCCUCAAUUUUCUCCUAUAUAAAACUAUAUCUCUAAACCUAAAUUCAUCCUAAAUUAAAAUAACCUAAUCUGAAGAAGAUACAUCCAUGGCCAUGAAAUACACCAGAAAAUUUCAUCUCUCCACCUACAAAUCUGUAGUCGUCGUCUACUUCUGCUGAAACAACCCCCAAGAGAGAAGCUAAGGCAAAUGAUGUUUACCAGACUUCGCUGAGGACAGAGGCAGAAGCCCGUGUGGUCAAUGGAACCGCAGCUGAGCUUGAUCAGAUAAGGUCGGAUGUCUAGAGGCUAGCUGAAGAUAGACAGAAGCCAUCAGCGGCGACAACUGUUCUUAACGGCAAGAUAGCCAAGGCUAAAGCUAAAUUGGACUGAGCCAUGGAGAUUACGGCGGACUUUUCGAGAAGAAGUUAGCAAAGGAAGGUGAAAACUGAAUAUACCUUUGUUGUGGAGUUGACAAUUUUGAACGAAUAGUGAGAUUCUUGGGUUUAGUUUUGAAACAUGGCUUCUCUUGAGCUUGAGAGAAGACAUGAAGACCAUGAACGCGGUAUGGAGAAGACCACCAAUCACUUACAUCGUCAAACUGUGAACUCCAAGAAGAAUGAUCUGACGUGGAGAUCAAAGCUAGGGCAGCAAUUGCAGGCUUUGCAGCUGUUGUGGCAGCUCAAAACCCAAGCAAUCUCAAGGUUUAGUUUAAACCUUACUUGCAAAAAUAAUUUAUAACUUUGUGAACCUGUUGAUGUAAGGUCCUGGAUUCGUUGCAGGUUAUGAAAACUCAGAUUAUGCUUAUUGCUCACGCAAGCCAAGGCCACUAACCCCCUGAAGCUAACGGUUCUCACCAGUUUCUCUAUAACACUGCAACAUACACGAAUCCAUAUAACCUAAACUCAUUUCAUAGAUCCACUGCAUCAAAUGCGAGUUAAUAUAUGUCCUUAAACUUGGGAUCUAUAUGAUUCAUUUAGUUUGUUUGCAAGAGACGGUUUCAGUUACUAACUUUUUAUGUGUGCAGGUAUAUAUAAAUUAUGAGCUAAUGUUACCUGGGAAGUUUGUGCUAUAUAUAGAAGAUGAGAUUUCGUCACUCUGGUGGAAAGAGUAUGCAGAUUGCAGCCAAGGCUCUCUAGGUAAUUAGAAAUAUCGUAAGAUAAGAAAGAAUUGACAAGCGGAUAAGUACCACAAGUUGUUCCUAAAAAUAAAUCAAAUAAACAGUUAAUAUACUCAUUUAGAAACUUUUUUGUCAUCUACUCUAUAUGAUGUUGAAGAGGAGUGACAUGUUGAACCUUCAGAGUCCUUAUAUCUAGCUUAUGUUUCUGACCAAGGAACCAUAAUAUUGUUGGUGGAUUUGGUGAGGAGGCAUUGUUUCCUGUAUACUGGAAUGGAGAUAAUCGGCUUGUGCUUAGAGUCCAAAAACUGUUACAGAACACUUGGACCUUCCAUAUCAUAACAAGGUUAGAUAUCUUCUACUGGAGUAUGUAUCAAUCUAAACUAUAAGAUUUUUUUCUACGUGAUGUUUUUACCGUUUGAGUUUUUGGUUUUAGGUUUCAUAUAUAAGCUGAAUCUAUGUCUUUUUUUUUUGCUCCAUUCUCUCUCUUUUAUUGUUGUUGAGAAUUUCUGAAAGACUUAAGUUUUGUUAGGACUUUUUUCUCCCAGGUCUGGCGCAGAAGAAGGUUUCAACCCUCUGGGUUUUUUGCAUCUCAUGUUGAUUUUCAGGUUCCAGUAAUGUGUGCGAGUUAUCAGUUAUGUGUUAAAAAUUGUAAAUUUCUUUUCAGAUGAUGAUUGCAUAGAAAAUAAUGUCCUAAGUUAUUAAUGUAGAUACUUCAGUCUCUCUUUACCGGGGAGGAUGAUACUUGGAGUCUUGGCUUAAAGCAGUUAUGCGUGCUCUCCUAAACCUACAAUGGUUCUCAAAAUAUCAUGGAAUUAAGUCUCACAUUUAUUUUCUAUCUAAAGUCUACCAGGGAUUGUGUUUUGAAUCAUAUUUCUUGUGCUUCUAUUCAAGAGAACUAGGCCAAGAACUGCAGAGCUCAAAUCAAGAAUCUGUAGAGGAGCCAAAUUGUAAAUUAAAAUGUCAUCUUUUCUUUUUUUUGUUUUAGUAUAUCAGUUUGGUCUUUGAUGUUUAAAUCCAUGUAAGUUCUCUAUAUUUUCAUGAUAAUCCAGAAAUUCCACUUGGUUUGACAACUUUCCCCUCAUUAGUACGACUAUUACGAUGUUAGAUUGUCACAACUUUUAAAGGACAUGUUCAUGCAUAGAUGAUACAUAUAUAUUUGCUCGGAUGGUCACUUAUUAUGACAUGUUUGGCCAAGAAAACACUGAGAUUGUUUUUGUAUAUGGUCUAUGAUAGUCUAGUGAAUAUAUUUUAAUUCAUAUGUUUAUUAGAGCAACGUCCUCAACACUAUAUAUUUCCGUUCAUUACAUGUUCUUUGAUUCCAGAAAAACGUCUUAACACAUUCAAAGUUAACCACACAAAUGUUUUUUAAAAACCAAUUGGUUAUGUUUAGUCAGCAUUGUAAUUGCAUUUUAAAAACAUUAUAGCUUCCAUAUCUUCUAAACAAAAUUAAAAUCAACAUAAAAUUAAAAUUAAAUUUAUAUUUUUAUAUUUAGACUAUUUUUUGGAAACUAAACAUCUAAGUUUCACUAACAUAAAAAUGUCUUAAAUGUAAAACUUUCAAAAAAAAUAAUUAUGUCAAAAUAAAGUUAAAAUCAAUUUCUCAAAACCAAAAAGGGUUAAAAUCAGUUUAAGAUGACUAAAAAUACCAAGAAGAAAUUAAAUAAAUAUUUUUUUAAAUUAGCAUAUAAUAUUUUAAUUAAAUGUGAAAAUUUAAUAAAAUUUAACUACAUGAAGAAAAAAAAUUAAAUUUUAAAAGUGUUGAAAUUCUUAAAAAUCAUAUAUGUCAAUAUAAAAUAGAAAUAAGCUUAAAUAUUUUUUUAAUAAAAAUUAUAAGAUAAAAAAUUAUGAAUUUGAUAAGUUGUUUAGAGCUGCUUUUGAUUACAUUCAGUAAAUCGCAUUACAUUUUUUUAAAUUGUUACCUUCAAUCUAUCAAUAUACCGCUAGAUUUGUCCAUCGUUAAUUUAAAAUGUUAUAUUAAAUGAAUUUGUCUAAAGAUCAAUUUAGGUUAGAACAUCACCAGUUAAUGCAUUGAGAAUUAUUUUAAUUUUUUAAAAAAAAUUCUAAAUUGUUUCUCGCUAUUCCAACACCUUCUUAAGCUUAAGACUAGUUGAAAUAAGUUUCUACUGUAACAUACAAACAAUAUUCCAAGGUUAUAAUUUUUUUUAAAUUUACCAAUGACUAAUAUAUCUGCAUAUGUGUAAUGCAUUCUAUCCAAAAUACUUUUAUGUAGUAAUGAAAUACAGAAUUUUUCAUAUUGAAAUCUACUACAUAUUUUACAUUUUUAUAACAAAUAGUCAUUUACAAAAUAAUAAAUAUCAAAAAAAUUAAUAUUAAAAAUAAAUUAUGGCUUCAAAACUUAAAGAAUUACUGAAUCAUAUUGGUUAUCAAAAUUUACAGAUUUAAGUAUUCAAAAUUAUUGCACAUUUACAAAAUUAUAUAUUUAUAUGAAAUAAAUGUUAUUUACCUAUGCUUCAAAAGAUAAUUCAAAAUCAAUCAGACGAUAUAGAAGAAAAUAUAUAAUAUACAUAAGAUGAUAGAAAACAUUUUUAUUUUAUUAAAUGUAGAGUAUUUUAAAUUUUAAGAAAGAUUUAAACAUGGUUACGAAAAUAUUAAUCGAGACAUUUAAUAUGCUAACAUAAAUUAAUGUUAUUUCAAACAAAAAAUA